rnacentral:rRNA from 1 species
AUUGAACGCUGGCGGCAUGCCUUACACAUGCAAGUCGAACGGCAGCAUGGGUGCUUGCACCUGAUGGCGAGUGGCGAACGGGUGAGUAAUGCAUCGGAACGUACCCGGAAGUGGGGGAUAACGUAGCGAAAGUUACGCUAAUACCGCAUAUUCUGUGAGCAGGAAAGCGGGGGAUCGCAAGACCUCGCGCUUCCGGAGCGGCCGAUGUCGGAUUAGCUAGUUGGCGGGGUAAAGGCCCACCAAGGCAACGAUCCGUAGCGGGUCUGAGAGGAUGAUCCGCCACACUGGGACUGAGACACGGCCCAGACUCCUACGGGAGGCAGCAGUGGGGAAUUUUGGACAAUGGGCGCAAGCCUGAUCCAGCCAUGCCGCGUGCGGG